rnacentral:lncRNA from 1 species
AGAAACAAAAGGGUGGUGUUUAAACAAAAGGGAUCAAAAGUGGUGUUUAAACCGAAGAUAUGGAAAAUGUGGUGUUUAAACCAAAAGUCGGUGUUUAAACCGAAAAAGAGGGAAAGGUGGUGUUUAAACCAAAGAGAGAGGUGUAUAACCAUGACAGUGUCAACCCAAAUUGUGGUGUUUAAGCCCAGAGAAAAAAGUAAAGCUUGCCUAAGCAAUUGGGAGUAACAAGGCAAGUGAAAG